AAGUUCCUGGUAGCACUCCAACUGGACUUGAAUCUCUAGCCUAUAAAGAUGUUGAACUGAAAGCGUAAUUUAAUAGUUGGGCGUCGAAUGACGUUUUCCACC